rnacentral:lncRNA from 1 species
AACACUUAAUAGUGGUAUAGAAAAGAUUAUGAGAGAAAAACAUAUUAAAUCAUGUAUGGACCAUCUGAGUCUGAUAGUCGUACUCCUAACCAACAUGCUACUAUUAAUCAUGAUUAUAGUACUUCUGAAAAUAAUAACUAUACAUCUAGACAUCUAACUUUUAGUGGUGACUCAACAGAGUUCGAAUGGUGGAAGAGCAGGAUGUACACUCAUAUCAUAGGUCUUGAUGAUGAGUUGUGCGACAUUGUUGAAGAUGACAUUGAUAUUCUAGGUAAU